AGACAUUUUGCAAUAACAGCGA
rnacentral:miRNA from 1 species